rnacentral:rRNA from 1 species
UACGUAGGUGGCAAGCGUUGUCCGGAUUUACUGGGCGUAAAGAGCGCGCAGGCGGUCGUUCAAGUCGCGUGUGAAAGCCCCCGGCUCAACUGGGGAGGGUCACGCGAUACUGAUCGACUCGAAGGCAGGAGAGGGUAGUGGAAUUCCCGGUGUAGUGGUGAAAUGCGUAGAUAGUCGGGAGGAACACCAGUGGCGAAGGCGACUACCUGGCCUCAUAUUGACACUCAGACGCGAAGGCAUGGGUAGCGAACGGG